rnacentral:rRNA from 1 species
UACGUAGGGACCGAGCGUUGUCCGGAAUCAUUGGGCGUAAAGAGCGUGUAGGCGGCCAUUUAAGUCCUGCGUGAAAUCCUGCGGCUCAACCGCAGGCGGUCGUGGGAAACUGGAUGGCUAGAGUGCGGGAGAGGAGAGUGGAAUUCCUGGUGUAGCGGUGGAAUGCGCAGAUAUCAGGAAGAACACCCGUGGCGAAGGCGGCUCUCUGGACCGACACUGACGCUGAGGCGCGAAAGCGUGGGGAGCAAACAGG